rnacentral:rRNA from 1 species
UACGAAGGGGGCUAGCGUUGUUCGGAAUUACUGGGCGUAAAGCGCACGUAGGCGGAUAUUUAAGUCAGACGUGAAAUCCCUCGGCUUAACCGGGGAACUGCAUCUGAUACUGGAUGGCUUGAGUUCGGGAGAGGGAUGCGGAAUUCCAGGUGUAGCGGUGAAAUGCGUAGAUAUCUGGAGGAACACCGGUGGCGAAGGCGGCAUCCUGGACCGACACUGACGCUGAGGAGCGAAAGCCAGGGGAGCAAACGGGG